UCCGUUGAUGACCAUAUCAAAAUAUACAAACUAGAGUUUCUGAAUUUUAAUGAUUAGGAAUUUGAUUAAAUCACUGAGG
rnacentral:snoRNA from 24 species